rnacentral:lncRNA from 1 species
ACGGGGCUGCGGGAGCGGCCGUGCUGAGCCUCCUCCCUUGGGCCCGGACGGGACCCAGGUUUCUCCACUGCAACGCAGCUCCCGAGUGACGGAAUUUUGUGGGGGAAGCGGCGGCCACUACGCUCGCUUUUGGCACAGUAGCCCUUUGCGGGUGGGAGCUUCUCGCAGUCAGAGCUAAGGGAGAGGGAGUCCACCUGCAAGAGCCAGAGCUCGCCCUUGUACUCUCCGAAUGCAAACUUAGCAAAUUGAACAGCGGAAGUACUUCCUUGGUCGGACCCCUGCUCUUCUAGGGGUCUUCUAGAAACGUGGCGGCUAUCACAGGCCCCGUGGUAUAACUGGCAUUUGGAAAACGAGGGUGUUUUUCCAUCUGGAGUGGCCUCUCUCCUAUCCUCAACCCUCCGUGUCCUUCGACGCCUCUCUCAGAUGCCAUCUCCACCAAGAAUUUUUUCCGGAUCUGAAGAAUAAGAGGAGUUGAGUGGAGUGAGCUAAGAAGACUGGCAACCUUUGCUAGAAGG